rnacentral:rRNA from 1 species
CCUACGGGAGUCAGCAGUGAGGAAUAUUGGUCAAUGGGCGCGAGCCUGAACCAGCCAAGUAGCGUGAAGGAUGACUGCCCUACGGGUUGUAAACUUCUUUUAUAAAGGAAUAAAGUGAGGCACGUGUGCCUUUUUGUAUGUACUUUAUGAAUAAGGAUCGGCUAACUACGUGCCAACAGCCGCGGUAAUACGGUGGAUCCGAGAUUUAUCCGGAUUUAUUGGGUUGAAAGGGAGCGUAGAUGGGUGGUUAAGUUAGUUGUGGAAGUUUGCGGCUUAAACGUAAAAUUGCAAUUGAUACUGGCAGUCUUGAUUACAGUUGAGGUAGGCGGGAGU